rnacentral:rRNA from 1 species
UUUUAUGGAGAGUUUGAUCCUGGCUCAGAGUGAACGCUGGCGGCGUGCCUAAUACAUGCAAGUCGAACGAUGAAGCUUCUAGCUUGCUAGAAGUGGAUUAGUGGCGCACGGGUGAGUAAGGUAUAGUUAAUCUGCCCUACACAAGAGGACAACAGUUGGAAACGACUGCUAAUACUCUAUACUCCUGCUUAACACAAGUUGAGUAGGGAAAGUUUUUCGGUGUAGGAUGAGACUAUAUAGUAUCAGCUAGUUGGUAAGGUAAUGGCUUACCAAGGCUAUGACGCU